CCAGACUCCUACGGGAGGCAGCAGUGGGGAAUAUUGCACAAUGGGCGCAAGCCUGAUGCAGCGACGCCGCGUGAGGGAUGGAGGCCUUCGGGUUGUAAACCUCUUUUGUUUGGGAGCAAGCCUUCGGGUGAGUGUACCUUUCGAAUAAGCGCCGGCUAACUACGUGCCAGCAGCCGCGGUAAUACGUAGGGCGCAAGCGUUAUCCGGAUUUAUUGGGCGUAAAGGGCUCGUAGGCGGCUCGUCGCGUCCGGUGUGAAAGUCCAUCGCUUAACGGUGGAUCUGCGCCGGGUACGGGCGGGCUGGAGUGCGGUAGGGGAGACUGGAAUUCCCGGUGUAACGGUGGAAUGUGUAGAUAUCGGGAAGAACACCGAUGGCGAAGGCAGGUCUCUGGGCCGUCACUGACGCUGAGGAGCGAAAGCGUGGGGAGCGAACAGGAUUAGAUACCCUGGUAGUCCACGCCGUAAACGGUGGACGCUGGAUGUGGGGCACGUUCCACGUGUUCCGUGUCGGAGCUAACGCGUUAAGCGUCCCGCCUGGGGAGUACGGCCGCAAGGCUAAAACUCAAAGAAAUUGACGGGGGCCCGCACAAGCGGCGGAGCAUGCGGAUUAAUUCGAUGCAACGCGAAGAACCUUACCUGGGCUUGACAUGUUCCCGACGACGCCAGAGAUGGCGUUUCCCUUCGGGGCGGGUUCACAGGUGGUGCAUGGUCGUCGUCAGCUCGUGUCGUGAGAUGUUGGGUUAAGUCCCGCAACGAGCGCAACCCU
rnacentral:rRNA from 1 species